ACCAGACUCCUACGGGAGGCAGCAGUGGGGGAUAUUGCACAAUGGGGGAAACCCUGAUGCAGCGACGCCGCGUGUGGGAAGACGGUCUUCUGGAUUGUAAACCACUGUCCCCAGGGACGAAAAUGACGGUACCUGGGGAGGAAGCUCCGGCUAACUACGUGCCAGCAGCCGCGGUAAUACGUAGGGAGCAAGCGUUGUCCGGAAUUACUGGGUGUAAAGGGAGCGUAGACGGCGACGCAAGUCUGGAGUGAAAGCCCGGGGCCCAACCCCGGGACUGCUCUGGAAACUGCGGCGCUGGAGUACGGGAGGGGCAGGCGGAAUUCCUGGUGUAGCGGUGAAAUGCGUAGAUAUCAGGAGGAACACCGGCAGCGAAGGCGGCCUGCUGGACCGUGACUGACGUUGAGGCUCGAGAGCGUGGGGAGCAAACAGGAUUAGAUACCCCAGUACU
rnacentral:rRNA from 1 species